GGCCACUAUUUAAUAAAUUCUAUUUUCAUCUAUAUAUAGAUUAUGGUGAGUUAUGGUGAGUAUUUGGUAGAGAAGACUCAAAAGAGUAAUGAGGAGACAUGGAGUUAAUGUACGUGGAAGUAAGAAGGGAACAAACUGAACCCCACACCACCAACUUGUGAAAUUAAAUGCAUAAAAAACAUUCAAGGAACAAAAGAGAUAGUGUAUAUAUGCAUAAAUGAGGCUGUGAAUUAAUGUUACUUUAUCUACGGAUAGUUAAUUGUAGACCACAUGUAUUUACUCAAGACGCCAUUGGGUUUCACCAUUCAUAUUGAUUAGUUAUACACUAUACGGUUCAAAUUCAUUUGAACUUUCCAAGUCCAUGUGCUAACGUAAACAUAUAUCCAUACAAACAUGGAACAUCUGUUUGUCUGUAUUUUUAAGAAAGAUAGAUUUACAUAAUGGAUUUUUGAAUUGUAUAUACCUUGUCAGAACGGCGGCGGCGGAGCUCAGGGAUGAGAUGUUGGAGCUUAGUAACAAGAUCGGAAAUCUGAUCGUCAGAGAUUCUUGAGCUUCCUGACUGUCGUGAUGAACGUGAUGAUCUUCUGCUCG
rnacentral:lncRNA from 1 species